AGUAAUGUAUGGGGAUCUGCCUGAUGGCGGGGGAUAACUACUGGAAACGGUAGCUAAUACCGCAUAAUGUCUGCGGACCAAAGCGGGGGACCUCCGGGCCUCUUGCCAUCGGAUGUGCCCAGAUGGGAUUAGCUAGUAGGUGGGGUAACGGCUCACCUAGGCGACGAUCCCUAGCUGGUCUGAGAGGAUGAUCAGCCACACUGGGACUGAGACACGGCCCAG
rnacentral:rRNA from 1 species